rnacentral:rRNA from 1 species
UGGGGGAUAUUGCACAAUGGGCGAAAGCCUGAUGCAGCGACGCCGCGUGGGGGAUGAAGGCCUUCGGGUUGUAAACUUCUUUUGCUCUGAACAAGGCAUGCCUUUGGGGUGUGUUGAGUGUAGGGGUUGAUUAGCGCCGGCUAACUACGUGCCAGCAGCCGCGGUAAUACGUAGGGCGCGAGCGUUGUCCGGAAUUAUUGGGCGUAAAGGGCUUGUAGGGGGCUGGUUGCGUCUGUCGUGAAAGCUCAUGGCUUAACUGUGGGUUUGCGGUGGGUACGGGCUGGCUUGAGGGCAGUAGGGGAGGCUGGAAUUCCUAGUGUAGCGGUGGAAUGCGCAGAUAUCAGGAGGAAUACCGGUGGCGAAGGCGGGUCUCUGGGCUGUUACUGACGCUGAGGAGCGAAAGCGUGGGGAGCGAACAGG